rnacentral:lncRNA from 1 species
AUUCUAAUGGAGAUUUCAGAUCUCAAACCACCAAACAUCAAAUAAGCUUCACCACUCUUGUUCUCAGCUGUACGGUGGCCGCUGGCGUUCAAUUCGGCUGGGCCUUGCAGCUCUCUCUCCUCACUCCCUAUAUUCAGGCAACUCCAUCAUCUCGUCUUGCAACUACUGCAUUUCUCUAUUUAUACUAACUAGUACUUGGGGGGAUUUUUGUUGCAGACACUUGGGAUAGGACAUGCUUUUUCAUCCUUCAUUUGGCUCUGCGGUCCUAUUACAGGCCUCGUGGUAGGUCAUGAUGCCUUAUCAUCUUUUUGUUUGAUUGAGAUAUCUGAAUCAGCUGAUGAAACCGGAAUCUAGUUUAGUUUAUUCAUCUACUUCGCAUCAUGC